rnacentral:rRNA from 1 species
UGGUGGAGUGAUUUGUCUGGUUAAUUCCGUUAACGAACGAGACGACGACCUACUAAAUAGUUCUAUUCAAUGCCUAAUGGGUGAAGCAGGAGAACGUAGUGGCUGGCUUGCCAGUUUGCUGCUUCUCUUGUGGAUCCUUGGCACUUGAACGUAACUUCUUAGAGGGACUAUUGGGGUUUACCCAAUGGAAGUGUCGCAAUAACA